CGAGGCGGGGAGGCGAGGCGGCGGGUGCGCGCAUGCGAGGGGGGCCUCGCCCCUCUCGCCCCCUCCCCCGCCUCCCUUCUCUACGCAGGCGCAGUGCGGCGGCGGCGAGGCGAGGGGAAGGGCGAGUCGCCACUGCUGGAGCGGGGGGGAUCCGCGGGGCUCCGCUGCUCCGCCGCCGCCAUGGCGGGCGCGGCCCCGGCCCCGGCCCCGGCCCCCGCCCCGACUGAGGAGAAGGAGAAGGAGGAGGAGGAGACGGAGGAGAAGAAGAAGGAGGAGGAAGAAGGAGGAGAGGAGGAAGAAAAGGCUUCGUCCGCGGCGAGCAGACGGCUGCCCCUCUCGUCGGCGGCGCUGUCGAGGAUCGAGAGGAACCGACAGCGGGCGCUGGCACUGCGGCAGGCGCGGCUGGCGGCCCGGCCCUACCCUGCCGCAGGCGGCGUGCGGGCGCGCGGCCCCCCCAAGGUCGUCGAUACGGGAGGGGGCUUCUUCCUGGAGGAGGAGGAGGAGGCGGCGGCGGAGGAAGAGCCCGGCGCCGCCGAGAAGAUCGUGCAUCCCCCCGCACCUGUCCUAGAAUUUGACUAUCUCAUCUGUGGAGACUGUGGCAAAGAAUUCAUGGAUUCCUACCUUAUGCAGCACUUUGAUUGGGCAACAUGUGAUAAUUGCAGAGAUGCUGAAGAUAAACAUAAGCUUAUAACAAGGACAGAAGCAAAAGAAGAGUAUCUUCUUAAAGACUGUGACCUAGACAAGAGGGAACCAGUGCUCAGAUUCAUUGUGAAGAAAAACCCUCAUAAUUCACGGUCACAAAGUGCAUGGCCUUUCAGCGCUUCUCUGAAACGUGUGGGGCAGAUGCUGCUGUGCGUGGCCCUUUGUAGCUGUGGCCUUGUGUUUGCAGCUCUGCCCUCAGAGGCAGCAGGAAAAGCAAGUAAUCAAGCGUUCUCUUGAAGUCUGGGGUAGUGAAGAAUCAUUGCAAGAAGCAAGGGACCUCCGCCGUGACAGCCGGGAGAAGAUGAAGCAGAAGAAGUUUGAUAAGAAAGUCAAAGAACUCCGCCGUGCUGUGAGGAGUAGUUUGUGGAAGAAAGCAGCUAGUAUCCAUGAACAUGAGUAUGGACCAGAAGAAAACAUUGAUGAAGAUACAUAUAAAAAGACCUGUACUGUAUGUGGCCAUGAAUUAACUUAUGAGAAGAUGUAGCGCUUAUCUGUUUUUUUAUUUCAUUAACUUUUAAAAGGUAUUCUGUAAUAAAGUGAAAUAAAUGGUAAUUAUGAACAA